UACAGAGGUCCCGAGCGUUGUUCGGAUUCACUGGGCGUAAAGGGUGCGUAGGCGGUUCUGAAAGUCUGAUGUGAAAUCUCCAGGCCCAACCUGGAAACUGCAUUAGAAACUACAGGGCUAGAGGCUUGGAGGGGGAACUGGAAUUCUCGGUGUAGCAGUGAAAUGCGCAGAGAUCGAGAGGAACACCAGUGGCGAAGGCGAGUUCCUGGACAAGUCCUGACGCUGAGGCACGAAAGCCAGGGGGAGCAAACAGG
rnacentral:rRNA from 1 species